GAAAAUAUAGUUAAAUAUAACAUUUGAUUUGCAAUUAAAAAUUACCACAAGGUUAUUUUCA
rnacentral:tRNA from 1 species